UGGGGAAUAUUGGACAAUGGGCGGAAGCCUGAUCCAGCCAUGCCGCGUGUGUGAAGAAGGCCUUUUGGUUGUAAAGCACUUUAAGCGAGGAGGAGGCUACCUGGAUUAAUACUCUGGGAUAGUGGACGUUACUCGCAGAAUAAGCACCGGCUAACUCUGUGCCAGCAGCCGCGGUAAUACAGAGGGUGCGAGCGUUAAUCGGAUUUACUGGGCGUAAAGCGUGCGUAGGCGGCUGAUUAAGUCGGAUGUGAAAUCCCUGAGCUUAACUUAGGAAUUGCAUUCGAUACUGGUCAGCUAGAGUAUGGGAGAGGAUGGUAGAAUUCCAGGUGUAGCGGUGAAAUGCGUAGAGAUCUGGAGGAACACCAAUUGCGAAGGCAGGUUACCAAGAUAUAACUGACGC
rnacentral:rRNA from 1 species